CACGUAGGGGGCAAGCGUUGUCCGGAUUUAUUGGGCGUAAAGAGCUCGUAGGCGGUUCGGUAAGUCAGGUGUGAAACCUCCAGGCUCAACCUGGAGACGCCACCUGAUACUGCUGUGACUCGAGUCCGGUAGGGGAGCGUGGAAUUCCUGGUGUAGCGGUGAAAUGCGCAGAUAUCAGGAGGAACACCAGCGGCGAAGGCGGCGCUCUGGGCCGGAACUGACGCUGAGGCGCGAAAGCUAGGGGAGCAAACGGG
rnacentral:rRNA from 1 species